rnacentral:rRNA from 1 species
AAUUGUUCGCAAUGGGCGCAAGCCUGACGACGCAACGCCGCGUGGAGGAUGAAGAUCUUCGGGUCGUAAACUCCUUUCGAUCGAGACGAAUGGUUCCUGGGUUAACAGCCCGGGAAAUUGACGGUACCGAGAGAAGAAGCCCCGGCUAACUUCGUGCCAGCAGCCGCGGUAAUACGAAGGUGGCAAGCGUUGUUCGGAUUUACUGGGCGUACAGGGAGCGUAGGCGGUUGGGUAAGCCCUCCGUGAAAUCUCCGGGCCUAACCCGGAAAGGGCGGAGGGGACUGCUCGGCUAGAGGAUGGGAGAGGAGCGCGGAAUUCCCGGUGUAGCGGUGAAAUGCGUAGAGAUCGGGAGGAAGGCCGGUGGCGAAGGCGGCGCUCUGGAACAUUUCUGACGCUGAGGCUCGAAAGCGUGGGGAGCAAAC